AAUUGCACCACGGGAGCAAAAAAUGGAGGGGGGCAGAGGAGGAAAAAAAAAAGGAAGCUGAACUGGGUCUGCGCUUGUAAACUGCGGCGUGAGAAAAUUCUGCUGCAGCCUAGAGAUGUGUGUGGACUUUCGGACCGAGGAGUUUGGAAAAACGGUGGCAGGCUGGGUGUCUGUCAACGUGUGGAAACUUCACCUCUCCUCCUCUCUCUCCCCCUAAACUGCAACCUGUUAGGGGGCCAGGCCGGAGAGCUCCGAGGCUCGUUAGCAGACAAAUUGAUUUUCUUCAAGGAGACUGCACCAAAGCAAAACAAAAACUAAAGUGGAAGCCUCGGGUCGCUUUUGAUGAACUGGUGAAAGAGAUGGUCGAGGCUGAUGUAGCUCUCAUGAAGCACAACCCCAAUGCCUAAGCUGACUUCUGGUCCCUGUCGGGGCGGCUGGUCUCCUGAAGAGAUGUGAUCACCUUACCCAACCCUCAGGAGGGUUAGGGUGGAGGGAUCAUUUUUCCCUUGUAAUCAAUCGGUGGAGGGUAUCUGACUGCAGAAGAGGGGCUGACAAUUGAUGUAGUGGAGGAGAGGAAGAUUUAGUCACGUCCAACACUGAUUUUUUUCCCCCAAUUCUCCGAUGCCAUUGAUUGUCUCUCCUUCUCUGGAAAAAAAAAAGAAUCUUUCACUCCCAGAAAACUGUAAAAUCGAAACUGUGACCACUCCAAUGCUUGGUUCCACAAUUAUCUCAUUAUAGAUGCUUUAUCUGAAGGAUUUUAUGUAAUUGAUAGGAUGGUUUUAAUCACAAAUCAUUCAUUUUGCUUAAAAUUACGUUGUAAGACAACAGAAAUUAGGGGGCCUUUAAAUUGUCUUCUUUUUUCUUAUUAAACUGGUCUUUCUACAAAUCAGGAUCAAGAGAGUAUCUGUUUCCUCUAACUCCGGUGUGAAAAUCAACAAAACAGAAGCCUAUUCACACACCCCUCCAUUUUGUUUUCUUCUUUUGAAUCCUCUUACCAUUAUCUCUCCAAUUUCAUUCUCUUAAUUUGUAUCAAGUCAAACUUUCCCCUGCCCUUCACCCUUUAAGCUCUACCCCUUGGAUAACCUUCUUCCACUUGUAACUCGUUAAAUUUCAGUCAGUUGUUAAUAUAACUCAAAAAGUACAAAAAGCCAUUUCCUGACCUGACUAACUGAGUCCUUAGCUGCUGGAAAGCCAGGCAAAGAGGCCAGCGAGGGCUUCAAACGAAAGGCAGUGUUCCUGAGGAUUUUUUUUUCUAGUGACAAUAAGCUCCUCUAUCCAGCCACAGUUAGAACCCAGUUCCUGCAGAAGUGAACCAUUCACAUUCCAUCCUGUUUCUGCUUACUA
rnacentral:lncRNA from 1 species